UCUUCAUUUUUGGUUUACAAGACCAAUG
rnacentral:piRNA from 1 species